rnacentral:rRNA from 1 species
CACACCGCCCGUCGCUACUACCGAUUGAAUGGCUCAGUGAGGCCUUCGGACUGGCUCGGGGAGGUUGGCAACGACCACCCCGAGCCGGAAAGUUCGUCAAACUCGGUCAUUUAGAGGAAGUAAAAGUCGUAACAAGGUUUCCGUAGGUGAACCUGCGGAAGGAUCAUUAAUUAUAUUAACGGGGAGAAUUUCGGUUCUCUUGUCAGCAUACGGGGGGGAACCCCUCUGGUUCCCCUGUCUGAACCCUUGUCUUUUGCGUACUAUUUGUUUCCUUGGUGGGCUUGCCUGCCGAUAGGACACUAUUAAACCUUUUGUAAUUGCAAUCAGCGUCAGAAAAACAUAAUAGUUACAACUUUCAACAACGGAUCUCUUGGUUCUGGCAUCGAUGAAGAACGCAGCGAAAUGCGAAAAGUAGUGUGAAUUGCAGAAUUCAGUGAAUCAUCGAAUCUUUGAACGCACAUUGCGCCCCUUGGUAUUCCAUGGGGCAUGCCUGUUCGAGCGUCAUUUGUACCUUCAAGCUCUGCUUGGUGUUGGGUGUUUGUCCCGCUUUAUGCGUGGACUCGCCUCAAAGCAAUUGGCAGCCGGCGUACUAGCCUGGGAGCGCAGCACAUUUUGCGCCUCUUGACCUGAACGUUGGCGUCCAUUAAGCCUAUACUUUUGCUCUUGACCUCGGAUCAGGUAGGGAUACCCGCUGAACUUAAGCAUAUCAAUAAGCGGAGGAAAAGAAACCAACAGGGAUUGCCCUAGUAACGGCGAGUGAAGCGGCAUCAGCUCAAAUUUGAAAUCUGGCUCUUUCAGGGUCCGAGUUGUAAUUUGCAGAGGGCGCUUUGGCGUUGGCAGCGGUCCAAGUUCCUUGGAACAGGACGUCACAGAGGGUGAGAAUCCCGUACGUGGUCGCUGGCCUUCGCCGUGUAAAGCCCCUUCGACGAGUCGAGUUGUUUGGGAAUGCAGCUCUAAAUGGGAGGUAAAUUUCUUCUAAAGCUAAAUACUGGCCAGAGACCGAUAGCGCACAAGUAGAGUGAUCGAAAGAUGAAAAGCACUUUGGAAAGAGAGUCAAAUAGCACGUGAAAUUGUUGAAAGGGAAGCGCUUGCAGCCAGACUUGCCUGUAGUUGCUCAUCCGGGCCCUAUGCCCGGUGCAAUCUUCUGCGGGCAGGCCAGCAUCAGUUUGGGCGGUUGGAUAAAGGCCUCUGUCACGUACCUCCUUUCGGGGAGGCCUUAUAGGGGAGGCGUAAUGCAACCAGCCUGAACUGAGGUCCGCGCAUCUGCUAGGAUGCUGGCGUAAUGGCUGUAAGCGGCCCGUCUUGAAACACGGACCAAGGAGUCUAACAUCUAUGCGAGUGUUUGGGUGUCAAGCCCGAACGCGUAAUGAAAGUGAACGGAGGUGGGAUCCCUUUAGGGUGCACCAUCGACCGAUCCUGAUGUCUUCGGAUGGAUUUGAGUAAGAGCAUGGCUGUUGGGACCCGAAAGAUGGUGAACUAUGCUUGAAUAGGGUGAAGCCAGAGGAAACUCUGGUGGAGGCUCGCAGCGGUUCUGACGUGCAAAUCGAUCGUCAAAUUUGGGCAUAGGGGCGAAAGACUAAUCGA